rnacentral:rRNA from 1 species
UACGGGGGGGGCAAGCGUUGUUCGGAAUUACUGGGCGUAAAGGGCUCGUAGGUGGCCAACUAAGUCAGACGUGAAAUCCCUCAGCUUAACUGGGGAACUGCGUCUGAUACUGGAUGGCUUGAGUUUGGGAGAGGGAUGCGGAAUUCCAGGUGUAGCGGUGAAAUGCGUAGAUAUCAGGAGGAACACCGAUGGCGAAGGCAGGUCUCUGGGCCACUACUGACGCUGAGAAGCGAAAGCAUGGGGAGCGAACAGG